GCGCUGGUGGAGUAGAGGUAACCUGCUGGCUUCGCAUGUCAGUUGUCCGGAGUUCAAACUCCGGCAGGGCC
rnacentral:tRNA from 1 species